CCCGCUGAACUUAAGCAUAUCAAUAAGCGGAGGAAAAGAAACCAACAGGGAUUGCCCUAGUAGCGGCGAGUGAAGCGGCAACAGCUCAGAUUUGAAAUCCGGCCCCCGGGCCCGAGUUGUAAUCUGUAGAGGAUGCUUCUGGCGAGGCACCUUCCGAGUCCCCUGGAACGGGGCGCCGGAGAGGGUGAGAGCCCCGUACGGUCGGAUGCCAGACCUCUGUGAAGCUCCUUCGACGAGUCGAGUAGUUUGGGAAUGCUGCUCAAAGCGGGAGGUAAAUUCCUUCUAAAGCUAAAUACCGGCCAGAGACCGAUAGCGCACAAGUAGAGUGAUCGAAAGAUGAAAAGCACUUUGGAAAGAGGGUUAAACAGCACGUGAAAUUGUUGAAAGGGAAGCGCUUGCGACCAGACUCGCGCCGUGCGGAUCAUCCCGCGUUUUCGCUGGUGCACUCCGCGCGGCGCGGGCCAGCAUCGGUUCCCGCGGGGGGAUAAAAGCUCCGGGAAUGUGGCUCCCUCGGGAGUGUUAUAGCCCGCCGCGCAAUGCCUCCUCGGGGACCGAGGUUCGCGCUCUGCAAGGAUGCUGGCGUAAUGGUCGUCAGCGACCCGUCUUGAAACACGG
rnacentral:rRNA from 1 species